AACCAUUGUCUUAAUAACACCAGCAUGGUUCUUUUUCUUUACAUUUUUUUAGAUUAAGGAACACAAUGAUUCCAGCAUACCCCAUUCAUUCAUGAAUGAGUACAGCCACACAAUACAAUUUCAAGGAUGCUUAGAUCCAAAUCCGUUAAACCGCACACAAAACAUCACAGCACCAAAUGGAGAAGAAAAAAAAUAAUAAAAAUGCUCUAAUGAAUCCAACAGAGCUUACUUGUCAAUUCUUUACCUAUGUCCCAACUGAAAUCCAAUGGCUCAGCACGUUUGAAGCAGCAUAUACAGGACGGGGACUUUUCAGCAAACAAAUCACGGGUAGGAGGAGCACCACAGGCCACAGCGAAGAUUGGGACUGCUUCUCAGUGAAGUGGAAUGCCGCAAGCAUGAUGCCAUGGUGCCAACGGAGGUCCUAGUUAUCGUGGCGCCUAUGGUCCUGUGGUUUAGCAGCAGCAGGGGUGCAUCCAACACCACGACGGUCUUCUUGCUGAACUUGGUGUCGAGGCAGAAUAUAGCAGCCUACACCUCAUGGAGUCCACGAGUUUGGCUGUCAUCUCGCAAGUCAGCAUCCUAGCCAAUGAGUAGAAGUGUCCUAGUGCAGCGGCGAGAGAGUAAUUAAACCGUGGCUGCUUGGGGAGCGUGAAGCCGUUGGAGAUGUCGAGAAGGCCUGUUGCCAUAGAAGAAUAGACGCUGCACGGGCAGCAAGUCCCUAAAGACUAGGUUGAAUUUAAGAAUGUGGGCGGCAUGCCAUUAGCUCUCAUGGUUGCCUCGCUGCCGGCGACGCCCAAAACCUUCUCGUCUGGGUCGACCAUGUGCGGCACGCAGGCAAGAUGGCCGGUGGUUUCCGUGCGGACCGAUAAUGUGGGAGAUCGGUGUGGGUUCCAUCUUCUCCUAACCGGCUCGACUUCCGCCCCCUUUUGGCCAUCUGGGGAGGAGCGUGAGGGCUGCAGUGGCGCGGAGCGCAGGAGGGCUGUGGUGGUGCGGCGCGCGGUGUGGGACAGCGAGAAGCCUCAUUUUGCAGCGUGAAUGGAUGAUGGAAUUUUUUUCCCUAAGCAAUAGGAUGAUGUUUGGACAGAUAGAGAGGCUCGAAAGUUACAUGGUGACUUAUCA